rnacentral:rRNA from 1 species
UACGUAGGUGGCAAGCGUUGUCCGGAUUUACUGGGCGUAAAGAGCGCGCAGGCGGUCGAUCAAGUCGCGUGUGAAAGCCCCCGGCUCAACUGGGGAGGGUCACGCGAUACUGAUCGACUCGAAGGCAGGAGAGGGUAGUGGAAUUCCCGGUGUAGUGGUGAAAUGCGUAGAUAUCGGGAGGAACACCAGUGGCGAAGGGCGACUACCUGGCCUGUUCUUGACGCUGAGGCGCGAAAGCUAGGGGAGCAAACGGG